rnacentral:rRNA from 1 species
UGAGUACGAGAUGCUACGGCAUCGAAGCAGUCUAUGUCAUACUUCCAAGAAAAGCUUGCACUGUCAGAAACAGAUAAUGCCUGUACCAUAACCGACACAGGUGGGUAGGUAGAGUAUACUAAGGGGCGCGAGAUAACUCUCUCUAAGGAACUCGGCAAAAUGACUCCGUAACUUCGGGAGAAGGAGUGCCUUAUUUUUAAGGUUGCAAUGACAAGAUCCAAGCAACUGCUUACCAAAAACACAGGUCUCCGCUAAGUCGUAAGACGAUGUAUGGGGGCUGACGCCUGCCCAGUGCCAGAAGGUUAAAGAAGUCGGUUAGCAUUCGCGAAGCUGGUAACUGAAGCCCUGGUGAACGGCGGCCGUAACUAUAACGGUCCUAAGGUAGCGAUAUUCCUUGUCGGGUAAGUUCCGACCCGCACGAAAGGCGUAAUGAUUUGGAUACUGUCUCGGAGAGGGGCUCGGUGAAAUAGACUUGUCUGUGAAGAUGCGGACUACCUGCACCUGGACAGAAAGACCCUAUGAAGCUUUACUGUAACUUGAAAUUGAAAUUGGACUUUAUUUGCGCAGUAUAGGUGGGAGGCGUUGAAAAUAUUCUUGCGGGAAUAUUGGAGCCAUCAGUGAGAUACCACUCUUGUAAUGUUAGAUUUCUAACUUUAUAUCAUUAUCUGGUUAAAGAACAGUUUCAGGCGGGCAGUUUGACUGGGGCGGUCGCCUCCCAAAUGGUAACGGAGGCGCACAAAGGUUUCCUCUGAACGGGUAGAAAUCGUAUCUAGAGUGUAAAGGCAUAAGGAAGCUUGACUGUGAGACCUACAAGUCGAGCAGGGACGAAAGUCGGUCUUAGUGAUCUGACGGUGCUGAGUGGAAAGGCCGUCACUCAACGGAUAAAAGUUACUCUAAGGAUAACAGGCUGAUCUCCCCCAAGAGUUCACAUCGACGGGGAGGUUUGGCACCUCGAUGUCGGCUCAUCGCAUCCUGGGGCGGUAGUACGUCCCAAGGGUUGGGCUGUUCGCCCAUGAAAGCGGUACGCGAGCUGGGUUCAGAACGUCGUGAGACAGUUCGGUCCAUAUCCGGUGUAGGCGUUAGAAUAUUGAGAGGAGCCUUCUUUAGUACGAGAGGACCGAGAAGGACAUACCUCUGGUGUACCAGUUAUCGUGCCAACGGUAAACGCUGGGUAGCUAUGUAUGGAGUGGAUAACCGCUGAAAGCAUCUAAGUGGGAAGCCCACCUCAAGAUAAGUAUUCUCA